ACUCAAAUGAAUUGACGGGGACCCGCACAAGCAGUGGAGCAUGUGGUUUAAUUCGAUGCAACGCGAAGAACCUUACCCAGGUUUGACAUGCACUAGACAGGAGCAGAAAUGUUCCCUUCCUUCGGGACUAGUGCACAGGUGCUGCAUGGCUGUCGUCAGCUCGUGCCGUGAGGUGUUUGGUUAAGUCCAGCAACGAGCGCAACCCUUAUGACUAGUUGCCAACACGUAAUGGUGGGAACUCUAGUCAGACUGCCCGGGUUAACCGGGAGGAAGGUGAGGAUGACGUCAAGUCCGCAUGGCCCUUAUAUCUGGGGCUACACACGUGCUACAAUGGUCGGUACAAUGGGCAGCAGAACCGCGAGGCGAAGCAAAUCCCUAUAAAGCCGAUCCCAGUUCAGAUUGUAGUCUGCAACUCGACUACAUGAAGAUGGAAUUGCUAGUAAUGGCGUGUCAGCAACAACGCCGUGAAUACGUUCCCGGGUCUUGUACACACCGCCCGU
rnacentral:rRNA from 1 species